rnacentral:rRNA from 1 species
CAGCAGCCACGGUAAUACGAAGGUCCCGAGCGUUGUUCGGAAUCACUGGGCGUAAAGGGAGCGUAGGCGGCGUGGUAAGUCAGAUGUGAAAUCCCGGGGCUCAACCCCGGAACUGCAUCCGAUACUGCCAUGCUAGAGGAUUGGAGAGGUAGCUGGAAUUCUUGGUGUAGCAGUGAAAUGCGUGGAGAUCAAGAGGAACACUCGUGGCGAAAGCGAGCUACUGGACAAUAACUGACGCUGAGGCUCGAAGGCCAGGGUAGCGAAAGGGAUUAGAGACCCCCGUAGUCCCUGUCUCUUAUAC